CUGCACCAGCCCGGUGCCGUGUGCACAAAGACCAACCCGGAAACGGAGCCCUGCCGGCCCGCUGCCGCCGCCGUGCGGAGCGGACAUGCAGGGAGCAAAGAAAACCUUUCAAUGUGCAAAUAGCAAAUAAUAAUAUAAUAAUAAUAAGCAAAUAACUUACGGUGAACGUGUGUUUUGCUGUUCGGUUGGUGUGUGGACGCUUCACGGGGCCGCUGGGUGCUCUCCGGUCCCGUAAGUGGAGGCAGAAUGAAUGGGAUGUGCUUUGUGCCUCCUUCAGGGGCUGCCGGAAAUCUGAGACACAAACCAAAGAAAGCAGAAGGAGGGAAGAAUUCAGAGCCACGAUUAGCAUAUGGAAAAUAAAUCAUCCAAUCAGAAAAUAACAAACUCCAAAGCUGCUCCUGGAUCAGUCUGUGCCGAGGUCAGCAGGCCGUGCAGAGGUCAGCAGAGGUCAGCAGGUCAGUCCGAUCCGCCCUGGGAGCUCCUCAUCCUCCCUCGUGGAGCUCCGCUCGCCCUCAAGAACAAUAUUGAUGUUGGGCUCAGCGGUGGCUGCUGGGCGGGUGUGUUUCUGCUUUUGGACAGAACGCAAUGCAGCUUCACUUCACACGGCGUUAACACACCAAGUGGCACAAUGUUGGAUUUAAAGACAGUGUCGUCCCCCAACUGCUCCAAAUGUGUUUUUAGGAACUUGAAAGAAUGAUAAUUUACUCCAGAGCUGUAUUUAAAUACACUUUUCAGCUACUUUAAGUAUUUUCUUGCUGCUUCGUACCUCCACUCCACAGUAAUUCAAAGGAAAACCUUUUUACUCCUUUACCUCUAAUUUACAAUCGGAGACACAAGUCACUGCAGAUUUAAAAUAAAACCUUUGAUCAGCUUGGAAAAAAAAGUUCUGUGGAGAUUAGUUUAGGAUUUACUUAAAGCAGUAACGCACCUGAAUGCCUCUUCUACCUGUGUGUCUCUAAUCACUGGGAUCGACAAUAACAUCACUUUCCUCUGACUCGUCUCAUGUGUGACACAGUUCAGCACGUUUAUAACACAUUAAAUUAAACCGUUAUAAACUACAAGAGGCUUUACCGACUGAUGCUGAAACCUCAGAUGCAAAGAAAACACAACAAACAAAAUUGCUUUUAUUCAAUAAAACAAUAUAUUCAGGAUUGAAAAGCAUUAAAACGAUUAAAUCAUCGGCGGAGAGAAAUGCAAACUGCCUAAAAGUGAGAGAGGAAAGUCCCAGACAACGAGAGGAUGUGAAAAGCGUCACCUCACUGCCGCCUGUUUCAUAAGAUAAAUAUGAGGAGUGUGAUUCUAAAAACCAAGCUGCAGACUAAACCUCAUCAUAUAUGGUAAACACACACACACACGCACACACACACACACACACACACACACAGUAAACACACAAUUCAUUACAUGUCGUCUGGUUAGAACUUCAGACGUUUGCACCUCCGAUAUGUGGAACUUUCCAUUGAAGGUUCACACAGUUCAGUGUUAAAGUUCACACAUCAGUGAAAAGGAGAAGCUGUGACGUCGGCGGCUUCACACAGUCAGAGGUUCAACAAGUCGGGUUCCCCUACACCCCCCACCCCAGGAGCAGUGGAGGUACCGGAGCCUCAGGUUGAUAAUCUGGGCGUAAAGCAGCACUUAGUGAAACUGAUCCCAAACCAGGCUGCGCCCUUUCAGGGUCUUUUCCUGAGGAGGUCAACUCUUACACCCCUUUGCUUUCCAGGUCGUACAUUUGGCCAAAAUGUAUAAAAGACUGAUUAAUAAACUGAAUAUCCUUCAUUCUUUAUUUUAUUCUAAAA